GUGUCUAUCUAUCUUUUAUAUGAGGCUCUUAAGCUCAAUUGAGAACUUUAGGGGAUCUUGAUCCAUACUAAUACUUCAUUGUAUUCUGAUCUAUGUGGGUGGUGAGCUUUAUUAUUGUUAUUGACUUGUUGUGCAUGGCUCUGAAAGAGGUAUAUUUUCAGUUAUGCUAUUCUAGCUUUACAUGUAAUUCACAGGAUAUAUAUAAUUCAGUGUUUUGGCUAUCCGGGUGCAUUGAGUGUUAUUGUAUCAAGUUUAGAUCUUGAGAAAGUUAUUUUGCAUGGGCUUUUGUAAUUUCCACAUAGAUGGUUAUUUUGCGUGUUUACUAUAUAAGUAGAAUGGCUCUUGCUGAUUCAUAUGAUUAAACCUUGAACGUGUUAGCUUAAGGUAUGACUAUCUAUGAAUUUCUUGAAUUUUGCAGACCUUGAUAGGAUACUAAUGGAAGCACGACACCGUUGGCUUCGGCCUAGUGAAAUUUGUGAAAUACUCUGCAACCAUCACACGUUUUACUUAAAGCCAGAUCCGCCUAUCAGGCCUCGAGCUGGUUCUUUGUUCUUGUUUGAUUGAAAAGCUAUUCGCUACUUUCGUAAAGAUGGUUACCGGUGGAAGAAGAAGAAAGAUGGAAAAACUGUCAAAGAAGCUCAUGAAAAGUUGAAGGUGUGCCGUUCAAUUUAUUAUUUGAGGGCUUGACGAUUGAAUAUAUGUGUCACGCCUCAUACCUGCGGGUGACAUCUAUUCCAACUGUCACAACUAUCAAGUAUCU